UCCUAGCCCAAUUAUGGUUCAAUUUUGGAGCAGUGGCUUAGUUUCUACCCGGACAAAGUGGUGGACAUUGCCUUCAGUAUGGUGCAAGGACCUUGGGGUACAGCGGAUUAUUUCCUCACUUCUUCCUACUGAAGAUUAUGGCCCAGGAUGAGAGGAGCCCUGCAGUGAGUUCCAAAGAGGAGAAAUAUAUUGGAGCAGAAGAGCCCCAGCCAAAAAGAAGUGAUCAGCCCA